rnacentral:sRNA from 1 species
GAGCGCCGGAGAGAAUCGUGAUGGGCCGUUGGGGAGAAUAGGAAUGGGGAUUGAGACAUUUUACUUUGUUUGAUUGAUUGAUUGACCCUUUUUAUUGUGGGAUAUCUUUAUUUUUGUAUUGGGAAUGGUCCUGGCGUUUUGGUGUUUGGGUGAUGGUACUUGGAUUGAUAUACCCGAAUUCUUGUCUCUAUAUUUGCGGUUGCUGAACGACAUUCAUGUUUAUUGCAUUAUUCCCUACAGCAACGUCAAUACGCUUAUUUGAAUUAUUUAGACGCCCUGGAUAUGAAAGUUCAUUUCAUCAUUCCAUCAGCAGGAUAUAGCAUUUAAUACCUAUUGCGGAAGAGCGCUUCCCUAGUAACCAACCUUCCGAGACUAUUUAUCGUUAACGCAGACAACCCCAACCGUAUGUAACCUGGGGCUUGACAUGCUAAGAGCUUAAAGUAAGCUAGUGGGGCCCUCGUUUUUGUUGGUAUUUGUUUUGGAGAACAACUAUCCGAGUAAAACUGUGAUGGCGCAGAAGUUGCAAUAGCAGCCGAUGAAUCGCCAAUCGAUAUAUGAAUGACGGCCACCAAAGUAGAUCGACUCCCUUACCACCAAUUGAUAAAAGCUAAAAAGUAAUUUAUCAUCGUGACGUUAC